ensembl:lncRNA
CCAACCUUGAAACGCAGGGCCCUCCCCUUCCUGCAGCCUGAUUGGUUCGCGAAUGCCUGUGCCGGCAUUUCAUUGGUCAGAGCCGCGGGCACUUACGCACGAGGAGGCCGUGUGACCUAGGAAGUGUCCAAUAAACCGGUAAUAACAAACACCGACGCGUCUGGCGUUUGUCUCGAUCAACACCGGUGUCGCUUCUAUCCGUUUGACACAGUCACGUGACGACCUUUUUGUUUGGUCCGCUUUUUUCCCUGACAACAGUUGGGUGAGUAGCCAGCAACCACGACUCCGUGCUAGCCCGGGCUAGCCCGUGCUCUAAUAUGUGAGCUUUAAAACCCCCUGGACGGUGACGCUGUUGACGUCACGCUCUUGUCCCGCUAGAUGGCACUCAACCGACAGCACCGUGUCUGUGUCACAUUGUCUUCAUCAUCAUAACCACUGUCAUGGCGAAUAAUAUUAUUUGUUUCAGCGAAUAUGAAAAAGUCACCGCAUGCAGCCUUUUAAAUGUGAAUGAAAGGCUUUUUUUUGGCUUUUUGUGGUGAAUUUUAGACGUCUACAUUAAACGUCCCGCAAUUUCCUUCUGUCUUUCUCUUCUAUCCCUUUUUUCGCUUGACUCAUCGUUCUUCAGCUUCUAUUCCAGAACUGAACCUCGAUGGUCCCCACCCGCCUCUCAGCUGACUUCCUAAAUAAAAAAGCCUAAGCAUGCUGCCACGGAGCUCCUUGGCGUGCAGCAACUGAGGAGGAGGAGGAAGAGGACAUGGAGUUUGGGAAGAGCCAUCAGGACGCCACGGCGAAGGAUUUGAUGGAUCUGAGCAACCUGCCCAUGGCGCUCUUCGCAUGAGGCGUCCACAAAGCAGCUUAAACAAGUGUUUAAGGAGGACGUACACAGGGUGAUAUGGAGCAAACUCACCUUCUUGGUUAAAAAUUGGCGCCGUGCGUGUGUAUGCGGCACUAACCCACAUACACACGCAUGUACACACGUAGGUGGGUUAGUGCGUCAGUCUGUGUGCGUUUGAGUCAUGUUGCUGAAUGUGUCAGCUUGUUCAAGAUUGAAAGACUAGCAACACGCGCAUGAUGUCAUCCACAGCUUUUUGCCCCUGUCACAAACUCAAGCUGCGCUGCUGAUCGCUCAACCCCAAAUACACACACUCACUCACAUACACACACACAGAUACACACACCUGAUGCUGUUAUUUAUCUGCCAAUAAACAUGAAUGCAAGGCAGCGGAUUACAAUAUGAAUCACGAGCGAUCCCCUGUUUUAAUCUCUGUGCAUAUCAAUCCAUCGUGCAGUGUGUUAUUCCCGCCCACUUACAGUUGUAGGUGUGGCGACAUGCCUCUUACACGUGUACCCAGGCACUUACAUGCCGUAUAUCUUCUGUUAUGGCCUCUCUGGGAUGUGUACUUUCCUGCCAUCUCAGUUUUAUCGGACUCCUCGAAUCCUGUUUUUCUGAAGGAGUAAAAUACUUUUAAUUUUCUGCCCCCUUAAUCCAAUUAUGCUGUCCCACGAUCACUCAAUCCGUUCAUCUGGCAUGCCUCGCUCUCUUUAAGUCUCCCCUCAUUCAUUCUCUGUCAAGUCUUAUCCAUCCAGCUCACCUCUGGAAGCUUUCUGUUCCACAACAUUUUCCUCUCCCCUUCCGGACUUUCUUCUCCUUCCUCAAUUCUUUUAAUAUCUCCCUCCCGUCUCUCUCCUGAACGUUCUUUAUUUAACCUCUCUAUGUCUCCGAGCGGAGGGGCUAAAUCUGGCGCAUACACAAAAUCCCUUUAAACGAAUCAGUCCUUGCUUUGUGCUCUCGUUAUUUGUACACCCGUUGCUCCUAGCGACGGAGUCUGCCGCCUCUCCUCCCUUUUGGCGUGCCCCUCCCCCCCCCCCUCGCUUCAUUACAAUUCCAACACCGCGCUUUUAAGUGGCUACGCCGCCCACGCGCCCUUCAGUCAGAGCAUGUCAAUAGAUUGUUCUUCUCUAUGGUUCAAUUAAAUGAGCCACGCUAAAAAUAGAACUUCUGACGUUUGCUUAAAGUUUGAAAAUGAGCACAGGGAGAGAUGAGGCAUGAAAACUUGACCUCUUUAACCCCGCUGUCUGCAUCCUCAGUACACGUUAACCUAUAUGUUUGUGUCUUCGGGCUCUUGGCUCCCUCCCGCCGACAUUACCUUCUGUUUCUGUUCUCAAAGUCCUGCGUGCAGGAGGCCGGGCGGCUUCUGCAAUCAGACUGUGCUCUAUUAGGGAUGGAAGGUGGGGACGUAUUUACAAGAAGCUUUUAGCAGGCUGUUGAAAGCCUUUCCUUUCUUCUGCGUUAGUGAAAAGACAGUAGAACCUAGUGGCACACUUUCUCUUUUAUGUGUGUGUUAUCAUCCGCGACCAGCUUUAAAGUAGAAUGUAAAGAUAGUUAAGGUGAAAUCAGCCCACCUCUCCACUGAAAUGACUGGGUUUAUUUUACAUUUACUCACU